UGAUGGAGCACGCCGCGUGAGUGAUGAAGGUUUUCGGAUCGUAAAACUCUGUUGUAAGGGAAGAACACGUACGAGAGGAAAUGCUCGUACCUUGACGGUACCUUACGAGAAAGCCACGGCUAACUACGUGCCAGCAGCCGCGGUAAUACGUAGGUGGCAAGCGUUGUCCGGAAUUAUUGGGCGUAAAGCGCGCGCAGGCGGCCUUUUAAGUCUGAUGUGAAAGCCCCCGGCUCAACCGGGGAGGGCCAUUGGAAACUGGAAGGCUUGAGUACAGAAGAGAAGAGUGGAAUUCCACGUGUAGCGGUGAAAUGCGUAGAGAUGUGGAGGAACACCAGUGGCGAAGGCGACUCUUUGGUCUGUAACUGACGCUGAGGCGCGAAAGCGUGGGGAGCAAACAGGAUUAGAUACCCUGGUAGUCCACGCCGUAAACGAUGAGUGCUAGGUGUUGGGGGGUUUCCGCCCCUCACUGCUGAAGCUAACGCAUUAAGCACUCCGCCUGGGGAGUACGGCCGCAAGGCUGAA
rnacentral:rRNA from 1 species